rnacentral:tRNA from 1 species
ACUGGAUUGAUGUAAUAGGAAACAUAUUUGGGUUUUACCUAAAAUUUGAAGGUUCGAGACCUUUAUCCAGUA